CUUGAUGUGUAUCAGUUCAGGAGUGUUAAUAGGAGUGUUAAUAUGUUAAUAUGUUUUAUGGAAAAAAUAGUUACAAUUUAAAUAGCCUACCUGACAACAUGUAGGCCUACUGAUUAGUAACUUUGAAAACUGCUGUCUGUCAGCAACUCAGCUCAAGUAGCAGUUCUACUAACUAGUAAUAUCUCAUUCCAGGUAUUCAUUCUCUUACUCUGUCCAUUAGAAUAAAUUAUUGUUCAGAAAUACUUUAUUUUUCAGUUCUCUCCAUAUAGUGUUUUCUGCUCUGUCGUCUCAAAAUGGAUCCUGAACAAAAUAACAACUUUACUUUGUGUUUCAGCUCAGCCGUCUCCCCACCCUGAUAAUAAAGUGUUUUAUUGGUAUCUUCCACUAGAUGGCAGUAAACACCUGCUGUAACUAGACUUUACAACUAUGUGUUCGGUUUUAUACAGGCAGUGUCCCAGAGGAGGAGUGCUGAUCUAGGAUCAGGUCCCCCCUCUCCAUGUAAUCUGAUUCAUUAUAAUCUAGGAUCAGGUCCCCCCUCUCCAUGUAAUCUGAUUCAUUAUGAUCUAGGAUCAGGUCCCUCCUCUCCAUGUAAUCUGAUUCAUUAUAAUCUAGGAUCAGGUCCCCCCUCUCCAUGUAAUCUGAUUCAUUAUGAUCUAGGAUCAGGUCCCUCCUCUCCCUGUAAUCUGAUUCAUUAUAAUCUGGGAUCAGGUCCCCCUCUCCAUGUAAUCUGAUUCAUUAUGAUCUAGGAUCAGGUCCCCUCCUCUCCAUGUAAUCUGAUUCAUUAUGAUCUAGGAUCAGGUCCCUCCUCUCCAUGUAAUCUGAUUCAUUAUGAUCUAGGAUCAGGUCCCUCCUCUCCAUGUAAUCUGAUUCAUUAUGAUCUAAAAGGCUAAACUGACCCUAGAUCAGCUCUCCUGCUCUUUAUGAAUACUGUCACAGGUGACUCCUCAAGAUCAGGCUCGUGAUGUAUAAGUUCUAUUCUUUAAGAAUCAAUUACUAUCAUUCAUUGAACUGCUUUGCCAUGAACAGAUCUGUGAGGUCUUAACUUAAAGGUACUUUAUAGAUCUUAUGGUCAUUUUAAUGGGGUUGAACAUCCAUCCAAUCAGAUUGUGUAAAGGAUUUUAUGAGUUCAGAAAAAUAGCAACUUGGAAGCAUCUCUCUGACCUCACCCUGCUGAAACACACUCAAGUAAAGACCACAUAUCUACAGUUAAAUGCUUGUCUGUUUCUACCCACUUUUACAGCCAAUGUAUGGACUGGUAUCCAUAUGAAUCAGUAGAAUAUACAGACCAGUUAACCACCUCUCAGUAGAUGGACCCACACAGAACUUUAUAUAUACAGACUAGUUAACCACCUCCCAGUAGAUGGAACACAGAACUUUAUAUAUACAGACCAGUUAACCACCUCCCAGUAGAUGGACCCACAC
rnacentral:lncRNA from 1 species